UGAAAACUCAAACAUCCGGUUUAUAAAAAAUAUUAGUGCCCGAAAAUAGAAAAGUGUUUAGAUAUUCUAAAGUGCGAAAUAUGUAGCUAUUUUUAAGUGUCUGAUAGUGUUCUGAAUAUAAGAAAACGUAAAUCCGUCUGUAGAAACAAUGUCAAGAGCUGCAGUAUCUAAAUCUCGGGCUGACAAGGGCUCAAAACCAGCUCCAGCCCACACUCCAGUCGUUGCUCAUGAAAUUGUACCAGGAAAAUUCAAUGAUCAGGACUGGUUUGUAUAAAUUUUUCAAACUUAAAUGCACAUUAAGAUCCACAGUCAGUGACUUAUAUAUAUAUGGUCAGAUUAUAUGUUCUCGGUAUGUCAAUGACCGUCAUAUGAUAUGAAUUCGUUUUACGCAUGUUUUUUUCAACAGAAAUUGUAACGUCACAAUGCAUAUUUUAAUCAUGUUUAUAGCUGUAAAGUCUAAAAUGAGGAUAAUUGCAAAAAUUU
rnacentral:lncRNA from 1 species